rnacentral:lncRNA from 1 species
CCCUCCAGCCCCUGUGUACGAGGAGAGAGAGCUUGGAGGAGUUAGGACCUCUGUCCUCUUCAGGGCCAGCCUGAGUGAACCUGACUCCCUACCAGCAACUUGUCUCCUGGAUGUUGACUGUAGCACCAACAAACACUGUACAGAGACGCUGACAGCAGGGAAGCUGGGUGAAGGAUAAGGGGGAGUCCUUGGAGCAGUCGCUGCCGCUUUCUGCCAGUCUGAAAUGAUUCCGUGUGAAAAGGUGCUGUUGGAGAGAACAAAGCUGCCCAGAGAAUGAAAACGUGCAUAAUGAAAAAGACAGCUCAGCGCAAAGCAGUUCUGGUUGUGGGCUGGUGGGGGAGCAAUGGAGAGAGCUAGUGUCCUGAGCUCUGCAGGGAGCAGGUCCAUGCCUGGCUGGAGCUAUCAAGGGAAGCCGCUCACAGGCCAUGGAUGGGCUAGGGCAGGCAGGUCCUGGUCCAGGGUGCAGUUUGAGAAAAGGGAUGGGAGGGUCCUCUAGAGAUGAUAAGGCCCUUCAGCGAGCUCAGCCAGACUAUGGCUAAGGUCACAAGGGCCCGCUGCUGUGUGUGUCUGGCAUUGGAGUCUUCAAGAAAGGCACAGCACCCACAGUCUUAAAGAGUGCAGAAUUCUAAUGAAGGGUCUGAUACUAGAGUUUCCCCCAGAGGGACUCGGCUCAUCCCGGGGUUUUUUCUGGUCUUUUUGUUGCUGACAGUCAAGCCCCACACCAGUCUGAGCCAGGCUGGUCUGGCUUUUCUGAAAGUGCCAUGAUUAGAUCUAGAGAAUUCUGCCCAACGGGAAGGAACCAGCAAAGAGAGGAGAGCGAGGCUGGUACCAAAGGGAGGGCGCAGGAGGCAGGUGCAGACCUCCCAGGCAGCAGCCCCUGCCAGCCCUCCCGUCCUCACAG